GAUGAAGAACGUAGCGAAAUGCGAUAAGUAGUGUGAAUUGCAGAAUUCAGUGAAUCAUCGAAUCUUUGAACGCACAUUGCGCCCCUUGGUAUCCCGAGGGGCAUGCCUGUUCGAGCGUCAUUUCACCACUCAAGCCUGGCUUGGUGUUGGGCGACGUCCUCUUUGGGGACGCGCCUCGAAACGCUCGGCGGCGUGGCACCGGCUUUAAGCGUAGCAGAAUCUUUCGCUUUGGAAGUCGGGGCCCCGUCUGCCGGAAGACCUGCUCGCAAGGUUGACCUCGGAUCAGGCAGGGAUACCCGCUGAACUUAAGCAUUCAAUAAGCGGAGGA
rnacentral:misc_RNA from 1 species